rnacentral:lncRNA from 1 species
UUUGGGAGCUGGUGACACUAACUUGCUGAUGUGCCCUGAGAGAGCAUUAAGAAGACAAAUUUGCAUUUAGAGAACCUGGGCUUGCUUCCAUCAUUUGAAGGCUGAGGAGGCUUGAGGCGCGCAUCCAUACAGCUGUGGAAGAGAUGCUGCUGUCAUUGGCCAAAACCAGCCCCGGAGACAGCAUGAUCCUGUCUUGCUACA